GGGGAGGAGCCCAGAGCCUGAAUCAGUGUGUGUGUUAGUGGAAGCGUCUGGAAAGGCGCGCGAUACAGGGUGACAGCCCCGUACACAAAAAUACACAUAUUGUGAGCUCGAUGAGUAGGGCGGGACACGUGGUAUCCUGUCUGAAUAUGGGGGGACCAUCCUCCAAGGCUAAAUACUCCUGACUGACCGAUAGUGAACCAGUACCGUGAGGGAAAGGCGAAAAGAACCCCGGCGAGGGGAGUGAAAAAGAACCUGAAACCGUGUACGUACAAGCAGUGGGAGCACGCUUAGGCGUGUGACUGCGUACCUUUUGUAUAAUGGGUCAGCGACUUAUAUUCUGUAGCAAGGUUAACCGAAUAGGGGAGCCGAAGGGAAACCGAGUCUUAACUGGGCGUUAAGUUGCAGGGUAUAGACCCGAAACCCGGUGAUCUAGCCAUGGGCAGGUUGAAGGUUGGGUAACACUAACUGGAGGACCGAACCGACUAAUGUUGAAAAAUUAGCGGAUGACUUGUGGCUGGGGGUGAAAGGCCAAUCAAACCGGGAGAUAGCUGGUUCUCCCCGAAAGCUAUUUAGGUAGCGCCUCGUGAAUUCAUCUCCGGGGGUAGAGCACUGUUUCGGCAAGGGGGUCAUCCC
rnacentral:rRNA from 1 species